rnacentral:rRNA from 1 species
AUUGAACGCUGGCGGCAGGCCUAACACAUGCAAGUCGAGCGGAGCGGCGGACGGGUGAGUAAUGCCUAGGAAUCUGCCUGGUAGUGGGGGAUAACGUCCGGAAACGGGCGCUAAUACCGCAUACUAUCAGAUGAGCCUAGGUCGGAUUAGCGCGUUGGUGGGGUAAAGGCAUACAAAGGCGACGAUCCGUAACUGGUCUGCGAGGAUGAUCAGUCACACGGGAACUGGUACACGGUCCAGACUCCUAAGGGAGUCAGCAGUGGGGAAUAUUGGACCAUGGGCGAAAGCCUGAUCCAGCCAUUCCGCGGGUGUGAAGAAGGUCUUCGGAUUGUAAAGCACUUUAAGUUGGGAGGCGUUACCAACAGAAUAAGCACCGGCUAACUUCGUGCCAGCCGCCGCGGUAAUAC